rnacentral:lncRNA from 1 species
CUUCUGAACAAGCAGGAGGAAGCACGACUUUGUAGAGCUUUGGAAAUCUCAACGGACUUCAGGGCCAUCCCCUUUGGCAGGAGAGAGCCCCACUGGAGGCGAGCAGGGUGCCGUGCGGGCCUCUGCUGGGCCCAGGCAUGUACGGACGUUGUGAGGGCCACAGGACACAGAUCGGUCUUGGUUCACAACUGGUGUCGAUGGCCACGCAGCAUUUCUGCCAGAUUCUGUGGCCAAAAACUUACCCGUGGACAUUGAGGGUGAUGCAUUUCUGCUCCAAGACGUCUGUGGACUCAGCUGGAGGGAUGGAAAGGAUGUGGAGCCUCUUCACUCCUGGCCUGGCCUUGGACCUGCUGUGCAGCCUCUCAGUGGCACCAGGGCCCCCUUGUGUCACAGCAGUCUCGGGUUCGUGGCACUGCCUCAGGAUGUCCAGGCUUCAUGAUGUCCAGGCUCCCCUGGCAUGGCGACCUCAGAAGUGAGGGUGAACGCUGAGUUAUUCACGGGAGUCAAGAAACCACACGCAGCCCAAAGUGACGUUUGUUUCCCUGAAAUGAUUUGUGUGUGUUCACCUUAAAAUGCAACUCAGUAAAACAGAAAAUGAGCCACGGAGACACCAGGAGAGGCAGGAGACCAUCCUCCUUGCACAAAACCCAUUCCCUUGGAUGCUGUCCUCAGCGAGGGUGGCUGAGGGCCAACCAGGGGGCCCACCCGCAGAGUGGCAGAGGAGGUCCAUGGCGGCUGCCAGGGCCAGCUGGUAGUACCCGGCUGCAUCAAACGGGUCCUGAAGGGGACAGGCCAUGCUCAGCAAAAGGGGGACUCGGAGCCCGUCUUCCCAGAGGCCGUUCCUGUCUCCAGGUCAUUCCACAUGUCCAGCCAAUGCUGGCUCACCCCAUGAGCCCCGAAGCCUGUGACACUGCUGUGGUCUCAGCUGCAGGAGGUGGGGAUGACCCUGACACCCCUGGAAGCCUUCCUGAGUGUCCCUACGCCCCACUCACCCCAAGCCUCCUGCCCCAGUGCCACCCUCUCUGCAGGCAGUGGCUGCUUUCCCCAUGGGCUGAGGUCAGGGCAGAUCCUGCCUGCUCUGACAGUUCCAUGCAGGACUCGUGGCUCCAAGCCACAGCAGGGGCACAGCGUUGAGUGACCCAGGCUCCCCUCUGGCCCCUGUCCAAACUGACCAUUUCCAGGCCCUCCACGGGACAGGCCAGGUACAAAACCAUCUCACAGGUGUCCUCCCUGGCAAUGAUCCCUGAAAUAUUGAUGGAGUGUGACUCCCCAGACAUCCACUCCUGUUUUCAAUGCAUCUUUGGCUCAAACUCACCAUCCCUGGGUUGGGAUGCCGUCUCCCAGACCUCCUCCUUGACCCUCCCAUCCCCCACCCGGCACCUCUUCCACAUGGGGGUCACCCAAGGAACCUCUCUAAGACCCAUGCCUGGCCUGUUCCUCUUUGCCAUCUCAAGAUGGCUCCCAGGGCCAAUGAGAAAGUCCAAGACGCAGCAGUCCAUUCCCUCACUGCCCCGCCCCACACACAGAGCAGGGGCGUGAGAAGGUCCCGAGUCACCGCCACUGCUCAUCCAAUGGCCCCCGCCCAGCCGAACACUGGACUCUGUGCUGGGUGUGUGGCUGAGCCUAACGUCCUUGAUCCCAGUCUGAGGGACCUGGGAGUGAACACUGACCACACAGGGUGGCCCGGGCUGUGCCAGAGGGAAGCCCAGGAGACCCCAGACUCAGCCGGGGAUGGAAGGCAAAGGCUUCCUGAAGGGGUGGGGGCUUCCCAACUAAACAGGAAGGAGCCAGC